GAUGAACGCUAGCUACAGGCUUAACACAUGCUAGUCGAGGGACCGGCGCACGGGUGAGUAACGCGUAUCCAACCUGCCCAUAAGUAGGUUAUAACCCGCCGAAAUGCGGACUAAUCCCCUCUGCUUAUGGAUGGGGAUGCGUCCGAUUAGCUUGUUGGUGAGGUAACGUAUCACCAAGCCUUCGAUCGGUAGGGGUUCUGAGAGGAAGGCCCCCGACAUAGGAAGUGAGACACGGUCCGAACGAGUACGGGAGGAAGCAGUGAGGAAUAUUGGUGAAUGGGCGAGAGCCUGAACCAGCCAAGUAGCGUGCAGGAUGACGGCCUAUGGGUUGUAAACUGCGUUUAGGCGGGGAUAGGUAGCGCAUGAAUAAGGACCGGCUAAUUCCGUGCCAGCAGCCGCGGUAAUAC
rnacentral:rRNA from 1 species